GUGCCGUCCUUCCUCCCCAGCGGCAGUGUGUACCCCAGGGAGCAGAAGGUGCCGUCCUUCCUCCCCAGCGGCAGUGUGUACCCCAGGGAGCAGAAGGUACCGUCCUUCCUCCCCAGCGGCAGUGUGUACCCCAGGGAGCAGAAGGUACCGUCCUUCCUCCCCAGCGGCAGUGUGAGCUACAGGGAGCUGAAGGUGUCGUCCUUCCUCCCCAGCGGCCGUGUGUGUCCCAGGGAGCGGAAGGUGUCGUCCUUCCUCCCCAGCGGCAGUGUGUGUCCCAGGGAGCAGAAGGUGCCGUCCUUCCUCCCCAGCGGCAGUGUGUAUCCCAGGGAGCUGAAGGUACCGUCCUUCCUCCCCAGCGGCAGUGUGUACCCCAGGGAGCAGAAGGUGCCGUCCUU